GCUGCCCUAUUCUGCCUUUCUAUUAGUAACACAGACUAUGACAUCAGCUGCGGGUCAACCUCUACAACUCGGCCAUUCUAGUGGAUGGAGUCGUGUUUCAUACAGCAUUAAUUUACAUGAUCUGACUGUCUGCUAAGGCACAACUGACCACUUCCAUCAUGAAAACAAACUGUACCCGGCCAUCUAAAGUUCUCGAUUAAAAAGCGACUGUUUUUGUGAGCCCAGAGAAAACGGCCGCAGCUGCUCCAUUUCACGAGGCGGGCACCUCUACUCCAUUCAGCUGUGAAGAAUGGCAAUGACUGUAAAUUGUUCUUCCUGAUCGGUUCCACAAUAAAAACAAACCACACUACUUUCAA